rnacentral:rRNA from 1 species
GACGAACGCUGGCGGCGUGCUUAACACAUGCAAGUCGAGCGGAGCGGCGAACGGGUGAGUAACGCGUGAGUAACUGCCCCCCUCUCUGGGAUAACAGUUGGAAACGGCUGCUAAUACCGGAUAGUGUGGGAUGACUCGCGUCCUAUCAGCUUGUUGGUGGGGUAGUGGCCUACCAAGGCGACGACGGGUAGCCGGCCUGAGAGGGCGACCGGCCCCAUUGGGCUGAGAUACGGCCAAAAGUCCGACUGGGGGCAGCGGUGGAGAAUUGUGCACAAUGGGGGAAACGCGGAUGCAGUAACGCCGGGUGGGGGAGGACGGCUGUCGGGGUGUAAACCGCUUUGAGCCAUAACGCGGUAGUGGAAGAAGAAGCACCGGCUAACUACGUGCCAGCCGCCGCGGUAAUAC